rnacentral:rRNA from 1 species
GACGAACGCUGGCGGCGUGCCUAAUACAUGCAAGUAGAACGCUGAAGGAGGAGCUUGCUUCUCUGGAUGAGUUGCGAACGGGUGAGUAACGCGUAGGUAACCUGCCUGGUAGCGGGGGAUAACUAUUGGAAACGAUAGCUAAUACCGCAUAAUAGUAGAUGUUGCAUGACAUUUGCUUAAAAGGUUCAAUUGCAUCACUACCAGAUGGACCUGCGUUGUAUUAGCUAGUUGGUGGGGUAACGGCUCACCAAGGCGACGAUACAUAGCCGACCUGCGAGGGUGAUCGGCCAAACUGGGACUGAGACACGGCCCAGAAUCCUACGGGAGGCAGCAGUAGGGAAUCUUCGGCAAUGGAAGGAAGUCUGACCGAGCAACGCCGCGUGAGUGAAGAAGGUUUUCGGAUCGUAAAGCUCUGUUGUAAGAGAAGAACGAGUGUGAGAGUGGAAAGUUCACACUGUGACGGUAUCUUACCAGAAAGGGACGGCUAACUACGUG